rnacentral:rRNA from 1 species
ACGGGAGGCAGCAGUAGGGAAUAUUGCACAAUGGGGGAAACCCUGAUGCAGCAACGCCACGUGUGGGAAGAAGCAUUUCGGUGUGUAAACCACUGUCGUGAGGGAAUAAGGCAUUGUUUCGGCGAUGUUGAAUGUACCUCGAAAGGAAGCACCGGCAAACUUCGUGCCAGCAGCCGCGGUAAUACGAGGGGUGCAAGCGUUGUUCGGAAUCACUGGGCGUAAAGGGAGCGCAGGCGGAGAUGCAAGCGGACUGUACAAUCCCGGGGCCCAACCCCGGACCUGCAGUCCGGACUGCACCUCUUGGAUAGUUCAGGGGCAAGCGGAAUUCCUGGUGUAGCGGUGGAAUGCGUAGAGAUCAGGAAGAACACCGAUGGCGAAGGCAGCUUGCUGGGGACUUAUCGACGCUCAUGCUCGAAAGUGCGGGUAGCAAACAGGAUUAGAUACCCUGGUA